UUGAGAUGUCUGGGAAAUCUACAUUUCAUAUCUUGGUGCUUCUUUAGGCCACUACUUUAACUUUUGAUAUUACUAAUCUGCUCUUUGAUGGUUACUCAAUGAACAUGUCAAAUGAUUUCUUUUUUUACUCCAUAAUCAUCACAUGUACGUAUUGGUUAAUGCGUAUUUACACUUCUGUCCUUCUAGUCGGGGAAGUACGGCAUAUGUCAAAAUUAG
rnacentral:misc_RNA from 1 species